GACGAACGCUGGCGGCGUGCUUAACACAUGCAAGUCGAACGGAAAGGCCCUGCUUUUGUGGGGUGCUCGAGUGGCGACCGGGUGAGUAACCCGUGAGUAACCUGCCCUUGACUUUGGGAUAACUUCAGGACACUGGGGCUAAUACCGGAUAGGAGCUCCUGCUGCAUGGUGGGGUUGGGAAGGUUUCGCCGGUUGGGGUUGGACUCGCGGCUAAUCGGCUUGUUGGUGGGGUGGUGGCUUACCAAGGCUUGGCCGGGUGGCCGGCCUGGGAGGGGCAGCGGCCACAUUGGGACUGAGAUAAGGCCCAGACUCCAACGGGAGGCAGCAGUGGGGAAUAGUACACAAUGGGCGGAAGCCUGGUGCAGCACCGCCGCGUGCGGGGAGACGGCCUGCGGGUUGUAAUCCACUGUCGCCUUUGACGAAGCGUUAGUGACGGUAAUGGGUAAAGAAGCACCGGCUAACUACGUG
rnacentral:rRNA from 1 species